GAAAUGUAAAUGAGAAAAAUACCUAAUUAAAAAAAAGAUAUAUAAAGGAAAGAUUAAGAAAGAGUGAUCAUACUAAAUGCAGGUUUUAUCAUUUCACAGACAGACAUGAAAUAAAGAAGCAAUUCUAUGGCAUGUUGCGUCCAACUCGACCAGCAAGGAAAAUGCAACCACCGUUCCUUCUUAAAGCAGGGGCCAAAGAACAGAAAUGGAAACUGGGACUUGUCCACUCUGGAAUUGGAAAGAUUCUUGAGAAUACCAUUCUGAGUGAGGUGUGCACAUGUUUGUAGACCUGUGGGUGUCAGAAGACAUUUCCGAGGAGUUGGUCUUCUUCCAGCAUGGCUUCCCAGGAUCAACGAUAGACCGCCAUGCACAGCACCAGGUAUUCCCCCCCCCCCCGCCCACUGAACUAUCCCAGCAGUUAUAAA
rnacentral:lncRNA from 1 species